rnacentral:lncRNA from 1 species
GGAAUAAGGUUUGUUCAGCAUGAAGAAGAUGAGACCUUGGGGGAAAUCUUAGCAAAACUGGAAGGGCAGUUAGAAAGAAGACAGCACUGGAUGUUACUCAACAGCUGACAUUGAAGUUGGCCCUGUUCUGAUCAGGGAGCUAGGCUGGAGCACUCCAGAGGCUCCUUCCAACUUGAAUUAUUCUAUGAGUCUCUGAAAAACAAGGAUAACGGGUCAUAAUUUUAGGUGGGGAAUAGAUGAAUAGAGAAAAAAAUGAGCAACAGAGUCCAUUGGUGGGUCCUGCCUCCUGCACUGGAGCUGAAGAAGGGAUUUGGCAGCAUAAGUGUCCAGAGAGAUGGUACAAGUGCUUGGUGAUGUCAGAAGCAAGUGGAGCUGGUCAGAACAUGCAGAUCUGAAUUCACAUCAUAUUUGCUUUAAUAUGUAUAUAUAUAUAUAGCUCGAGAUUAAAAUUAAAGGUUUCAAAAUUUUUAAUGAAAAUUCUGAAAAAUGUAGAGCUGGGAAUUGUUUGUUUCAUAAGGCCAGAGCUUCAGUUUGAAUUCAGUUCUUUCUGUUGCAGUAAACACAUUCUGGUACAGCAACAAAUCAUUGCAAAGUUCAGUUCAGUUUUAUUAUCUUUGUUCUGGAGAAGAUGAGGAAAUGUUUAAAUCAGCCAUUGCUAAAUAAUAUCCGCCUCAGUUUUACUAAAGUAAAACAUAUCAAAAGUAAAUGUUUUAGGCUGUUGAAACUAAUAAAUAUUUUCAUGUUUUGGCACAUCAAGUAGUGCUGGAGCACAGGAAGAAAAUAAGACAAAAUAAUGUAAUUAACUUCUUGAAAUUCCAGAAGACAACUAUGAGACGGCAGACAAGCUAUAGCAUUGCUGAACUGGACCCAUCACCCCUAAAUCAAGCUCCUUUCCUGCUUGGGAGCAAUGCUGCCCAGCGAGAUGAAGAGCCAGAAAGCCUCCUGCUUCCUCGCACAGCUCAUGAGGAAGCUUUCUAGUGGCUACAACAGAGGUUUAAUGACAUCACAUGUUUGUGUGCUGCAGAACGUGUCACUUCAUUUGGUUUGCAUCACGCACUUCCUACCCGCCUUCAGCAGACCUCUGGCCUCACCCACACGAGGUAUCUUCAGAUGUCUCCUCACAGAGUACCUGAGUGCCACAGAGUUAAAAAAAACCCUUUUUGUCAGCAUCUCAUGGACUAAAUGUUGCUUUUUUUUUUUUUUUUUUUUUUUUUUUCUUACUACCUCUUAUUUCACAAUUUGCCUGUUGGGAUUUUGGUCUUGUGCAAGAGUUGUUAUGGGAAUAAAGUCUUAUCUCAAAGAAAGAUCUUGCUUUAUUUGGAUCAAAUAGAAAGAGUUGAUCUCCCUAAACUUCCCUCCCCCAUCCCUCCCCCCUCUCCCCCAAUAAAUAAAUAAAUAAAUGAAUAAAUAAAUAUCA